GAGCCAGAAUCCACUUCACUCAGC
rnacentral:siRNA from 1 species